GACGUAGGAGGCGAGCGUUAUCCGGAUUCACUGGGCGUAAAGCGCAUGUAGGCGGUUGCACAAGUCCGUUGUUAAAGCCCCUGGCUCAACUGGGGGAGGUCAAUGGAGACUGUGCGACUUGAGGGCAGUAGAGGCACGUGGAACUCCCGGUGUAGCGGUGGAAAGCGUAGAGAUCGGGAAGAACACAAGUGGCGAAGGCGACGUGCUGGGCUGCAACUGACGCUGAGAUGCGAAAGUGUGGGGAGCAAACAGG
rnacentral:rRNA from 1 species